AGCCAUGCAUGUCUAAGUACAAAUUGUUAUAAAAUGAAACUGCGAAUGGCUCAUUAAAUCAGCUACAGUUCACUGGGUAAACCACAGUUACUUGGAUAACUGUGGUAAUUCUAGAGCUAAUACAUGCAAUUAUGCCCGCGCUUCACGGCAAGGGUGCUCUUAUUAGAUCAAAACCAACCUGGCUUCGGCCAGAAUUUUUGAUGACUCUGGAUAAUUGGGUGAUCGCAGGACUCAAUGUCGGCGAUUCGCCUUUCAAAAGUCUGCCCUAUCAACUAUAGAUGGUAUAUAACCUGUGUACCAUGGUACUCACGGGUAACGGGGAAUCAGGGUUCGAUUCCGGAGAGGGAGCCUGAGAAACAGCUACCACAUCCAAGGAAGGCAGCAGGCGCGCAAAUUACCCACUCUCAAAACGAGGAGGUAGUGACAAAAAAUAACGAUGCGGGACUCAAUCGAGGCCCCGUAAUCGGAAUGAGAACAAUUUAAAUCCUUUAACGAGGAUCAAUUGGAGGGCAAGUCUGGUGCCAGCAGCCGCGGUAAUUCCAGCUCCAAUAGCGUAUAUUAAAGUUGUUGCAGUUAAAAAGCUCGUAGUUGGAUCUAAGGAUUUGAAUUAACGGUUUGCCUUAUGGUGAUACUGUUGGAUCUGCCUAAAAAUGUCGUGGAGGCUAUUAGUGUUCUUAAUUGAGUGCUUUUAGUGCCCGACGCUAUUACUUUGAGAAAAUUAGAGUGCUUAAAGCAGGCAUAAUGCUUGUAUACUGUUGCAUGGAAUAAUAAAAUAUGAGUUUACUUUUAUUUUGUUGGUAUUCGGAAGUGAACUAAUGAUUGACGGGG
rnacentral:rRNA from 1 species